rnacentral:rRNA from 1 species
UACGAAGGGGGCUAGCGUUGCUCGGAAUCACUGGGCGUAAAGCGCACGUAGGCGGCUUCUUAAGUCAGGGGUGAAAUCCUGGAGCUCAACUCCAGAACUGCCUUUGAUACUGAGAAGCUUGAGUCCGGGAGAGGUGAGUGGAACUGCGAGUGUAGAGGUGAAAUUCGUAGAUAUUCGCAAGAACACCAGUGGCGAAGGCGCUCACUGGCCCGGUACUGACGCUGAGGUGCGAAACGUGGGGACA